rnacentral:lncRNA from 1 species
UUGUUUUAACCUUACGAUAUCACUUUUUCCUAUUGCAUUUAUCCAGCAAAACAGAAUCAAACGCAAAGAAAUAACACGCUAACAUGUUAAAAAUGUCAUCACAUGUUUUAUUCAGCAACUAUCCAUGCAAAUUGAUAUAUGAAUCCUUGACACUAAAAUUUGUUAAUUAGCCUUAAUUAUUCGCGAACAAGUUUUAUAUGAUUAAUCUAAAUUGAAGCCAAGUAAACAACUACUUCUAACCGAAUCACGCUAUUACUAACUAAAUAAUAGAUACGAAAACAGCCCUGGGCAAUUCAAAUUAGUACAAAUCACUGAUAAGUCCAACAGUCCACAAAUUGCAAAACAGUCAAAAGUUAUUACUCAUACAAUUCAACACUUAACUACGUUAAACAACUACAUCUACUAUCUAUUUAACUACUAGUAUGUGACAAUCCAGCAGGCAUGUUUCAGGAUCAACAAUCGGGCAGUUCUAUUCCAUUUUUUUCAAGCUCGGAAUUACAACAGAGAUUCAACUGUGUACCUGGCAAUGAAAGUAAAGAAGGUAAGAUUCAACAGUAGCAACAACGGGUUCAGCAACAAAGAACAGUAGCAGAAAAUCAGUAAUGACCAGUAGAAUAAUCCAGUGACAGAUUUGGAAACCAAACAGAAAAUCUCAACGGAAAUAGUAUCCAGCAUCAGUUUUGAACAAAAUUGUAGUAGAACCAGUAGAGCAGUAGCCAAUGACCCAGUAGCGAACUCAGAAACAAAUACUUGAAGAUUCCAAGGAUACAAGGGAAUAGUAAGCUUCAGAUUUUUUUUCUUCAGGUUUUAACUCUCAAAACUCUCUUUUUACUCUCAAUUUCUCUUGAUCCAUUGUUCUUCUUCUAAGUGUCAAAUGACCCUUCCUUUUAUGUAAAACAAGACCUACUUUCAUCAUUAUUCCUACCCUUUCUUUUUAUAUUAUCCUUCCCCUUUCCAGUUUCU